CCUACGGGCGGCAGCAGUGAGGAAUAUUGGUCAAUGGCCGUAAGGCUGAACCAGCCAAGUCGCGUGAAGGAAGAAGGAUCUAUGGUUUGUAAACUUCUUUUAUAGGGGAAUAAAGGUAUCCACGUGUGGAUAUUUGCAUGUACCCUACGAAUAAGCAUCGGCUAACUCCGUGCCAGCAGCCGCGGUAAUACGGAGGAUGCGAGCGUUAUCCGGAUUUAUUGGGUUUAAAGGGUGCGUAGGUGGUUUGUUAAGUCAGCGGUGAAAGUCCGGGGCUCAACCACAGAAUUGCCUUUGACACUGGAAGACUUGAGUGUGGUUGAGGUAGGCGGAAUGCGUGGUGUAGCGGUGAAAUGCAUAGAUAUCACGCAGAACUCCGAUUGCGAAGGCAGCUUACCAAGCCAUAACUGACGCUGAGGCACGAAAGCGUGGGGAUCAAACAGGAUUAGAUACCCCUGUAGUC
rnacentral:rRNA from 1 species